rnacentral:rRNA from 1 species
UCCUUUUGUGUAUAAUUUAAGGUCUAGCCUGCCCACUGAAAUUUUAAAUGGCCGUGGUAUUUUGACCGUGCUAAGGUAGCAUAAUCAUUAGUUUUUUAAUUAAAAACUGGAAUGAAAGGUUGGAUGAGAAAAUAGCUGUCUCUAUUAAAUUUAAUUAGAAUUUUAUUUUUAAGUUAAAAAGCUUAACUAUUAUUAAAAGACGAGAAGACCCUAUAGAGUUUAAUUAUUUAGUAAAAAUUAUAUUUUAGUAUUAAUUUAUUUAUUUUAUUAAAUAAUUUAAUUGGGGUGAUUGAAAAAUUUAAUUAACUUUUUUUAUUUAAGAACAUUAAUUUAUGAAUAAAUGAUCCAAUAUUUUUGAUUAUAAGAUAAAAUUACCUUAGGGAUAACAGCGUAAUUUUUUUAGAAAGUUCAUAUUAAAAAAAAAGAUUGCGACCUCGAUGUUGGAUUAAAAUAAAUUUUUGGUGUAGAAGCUAAAAUAUUAGGUCUGUUCGACCUUUAAAAUUUUACAUGAU